rnacentral:rRNA from 1 species
UACGUAGGGUGCGAGCGUUGUCCGGAAUUAUUGGGCGUAAAGAGCUCGUAAGCGGUCUGUCGCGUCGGCUGUGAAAUCCCGAGGCUCAACCUCGGGUCUGCAGUCGAUACGGGCAAACUUGAGUGUUGCAGGGGAGACUGGAAUUCCUGGUGUAGCGGUGAAAUGCGCAGAUAUCAGGAGGAACACCGGUGGCGAAGGCGGGUCUCUGGGCAACAACUGACGCUGAGGAGCGAAAGCGUGGGGAGCGAACAGG